rnacentral:rRNA from 1 species
GACGAACGCUGGCGGCGUGCUUAACACAUGCAAGUCGAACGGAAAGGCCCUGCUUUUGUGGGGUGCUCGAGUGGCGAACGGGUGAGUAACACGUGAGUAACCUGCCCUUGACUUUGGGAUAACUUCAGGAAACUGGGGCUAAUACCGGAUAGGAGCUCCUGCUGCAUGGUGGGGGUUGGAAAGUUUCGGCGGUUGGGGAUGGACUCGCGGCUUAUCAGCUUGUUGGUGGGGUAGUGGCUUACCAAGGCUUUGACGGGUAGCCGGCCUGAGAGGGUGACCGGCCACAUUGGGACUGAGAUACGGCCCAGACUCCUACGGGAGGCAGCAGUGGGGAAUAUUGCACAAUGGGAGGAAGCCUGAUGCAGCGACGCCGCGUGCGGGAUGACGGCCUUCGGGUUGUAAACCGCUUUCGCCUGUGACGAAGCGUGAGUGACGGUAAUGGGUAAAGAAGCACCGGCUAACUACGUG